CCUACGGGGGGCUGCAGUGAGGAAUAUUGGUCAAUGGACGAGAGUCUGAACCAGCCAAGUAGCGUGAAGGAUGACUGCCCUAUGGGUUGUAAACUUCUUUUAUAUGGGAAUAAAAUGUUCCACGUGUGGGAUUUUGUAUGUACCAUAUGAAUAAGGAUCGGCUAACUCCGUGCCAGCAGCCGCGGUAAUACGGAGGAUCCGAGCGUUAUCCGGAUUUAUUGGGUUUAAAGGGAGCGUAGGUGGAUUGUUAAGUCAGUUGUGAAAGUUUGCGGCUCAACCGUAAAAUUGCAGUUGAAACUGGCAGUCUUGAGUACGGUAGAGGUGGGCGGAAUUCGUGGUGUAGCGGUGAAAUGCUUAGAUAUCACGAAGAACUCCGAUUGCGAAGGCAGCUCACUGGACUGCAACUGACACUGAGGCUCGAAAGUGUGGGUAUCGAACAGGAUUAGAUACCCGGGUAGUC
rnacentral:rRNA from 1 species